rnacentral:ncRNA from 1 species
AAGAGCCGGAUGCGGGAAAUCCGCACGUCCGGAUUCUGUGAGGGGUAUGCCACGCGAAGGGGCAUAUCUACUCGAC